UACGUAGGGUGCAAGCGUUGUCCGGAAUUAUUGGGCGUAAAGAGCUCGUAGGCGGUUUGUCGCGUCGAAUGUGAAAACCCGGGGCUCAACCCCGGGCCUGCAUUCGAUACGGGCAGACUAGAGUUCGGUAGGGGAGUCUGGAAUUCCUGGUGUAGCGGUGAAAUGCGUAGAUAUCAGGAGGAACACCUGUGGUGUAGACAGCUUACUGGACCAUUUCUGACGCUGAGACACGAAAGCGUGGGUAGCAAACAGG
rnacentral:rRNA from 1 species